rnacentral:rRNA from 1 species
UACGAAGGGGGCUAGCGUUGUUCGGAAUCACUGGGCGUAAAGGGCGCGUAGGCGGCCGAUCAAGUCGGGGGUGAAAGCCUGUGGCUCAACCACAGAAUUGCCUUCGAUACUGUUUGGCUUGAGACCGGAAGAGGUAAGUGGAACUGCGAGUGUAGAGGUGAAAUUCGUAGAUAUUCGCAAGAACACCAGUGGCGAAGGCGGCUUACUGGUCCGGUUCUGACG